rnacentral:rRNA from 1 species
CGGACGGGUGAGUAAUGUCUGGGAAACUGCCUGAUGGAGGGGGAUAACUACUGGAAACGGUAGCUAAUACCGCAUAACGUCGCAAGACCAAAGAGGGGGACCUUCGGGCCUCUUGCCAUCGGAUGUGCCCAGAUGGGAUUAGCUAGUAGGUGGGGUAGAGGCUCACCUAGGCGACGAUCCCUAGCCGGUCUGAGAGGAUGACCAGCCACACUGGAACUGAGACACGGUCCAG